UAAAGAAGGAAGAGGUUUACUUGGCUGAGAGCAUCGGCAGACUUGCAUCUUAAGAGCUGAGCUCCCUGCAAACUGAAUUCUUGGCCUUUUUAAAGGCUUACAACUCUAAAGGGGUCCACAUGAAAAGGUCGUGAUAAAUCCAGCAAGCGUGGGGAACGUGACUGGAGGCUACAUGCAUCAGCUAACAGAACAGAAAGUUUUGCAAUGCUUUUUCAUACAAUGUCUGGAAUUUACAGAUAACACAAGUAGUUUAGGUCUGGGGUUGAUGUUAUUAUUAUUACCUUUUUAACUCCUAGGGCCAGGUGGUGGUGCCAAGGUUGUCUGGCUAUUUAUCUUACUUUUGCUUCUUUCCAGCUUUUUGCUUUCUCUCUUUCCUCCUGUCUUGUGAACUAGGCAAGGUGGUGGGAGGAGGGCAGCAGGAGUUGUAGCGGUCUCCUUCCUUAGUGUGACACAACACCCGACAAGAAUAAGCACACCUAUGAUGGCUGCGAUGGAAGUAAGAAUUGGGGCUACUAUUCUUUUCCAUUUACUGAACCACUUUUCCAGCCAUCCUGUAAAGGGGUCAUUUACCCCCGAGUUAUUGGCUAACUCAGGAUAGAGCAGUCAGACCUUGCAAUGCCUUUGUUAUACUUCCAUUAGGGGCGGUGUUGUUUGGGAUGAAGUUACAACAUUGAUUUUUAAUUAUGAUGCAAAUUCUUCCUUUUUCUGCUAAUAUCAUGUCUAAGGCUAUCCUAUUUUUCCCAAGCCAUCUGGCUAGUAGCCCCUAAUUGCUCAGCUAUUCCUUUAACAGCAUCUCUAGUGUAGUUAAUGGAUGGCUGUUGGUUGUAAUAGAUGUAGUUUAUCCAAUUUACAUUUUAUUGUCACCCACCAAAAUAUUGACUCAAAUCCUGCAGCUAUUUGAUUUCAGGCUUUAAAUUGAUCUGGUAUUCCCUGUGGGACUGUAAUUAUGUCUAAAUAGAUGUGAGAGUCAAAAGACCCAUAAGGGGCUUCUUUUGCUUUAUGAUAUCUUAUUUUUCCUUUCUCUGGUUGAUGAAAUGCCAGCGUGAAAGGGAUAGCCAACUGGACUAAAGCAAGUGCCACUUCAGUUACUCGGCAGAGUGUCCAGUAAAGGUCCAUCAUAAUACCACUACACAUCUGCUCAGGGAUGAGUAAGGGCUAAUUGGUAAGCUCUUGAAAUUUCUUAAUCUCACUGCAUCCCUUCAGGACUCCAAGGAACGCUAAGUUUCCUCCCGGUCCUGAGAGACACGAAGUGAACUUAGUGUUGGGAGAUGGAAGCUGGAUGGCCCUUGGGGGCUGACCCGCAGGGUGUUGAACUUCGGGAUGUAGCAGAGAGAGAGCUUGGCACGACUUGUUACCCCAGGCUGAAUAAUCCUGGGAAAGAUCUGCCAUGCAGGCCAUGCCCAGUCAACUAGAGGGCCACCCUAGUGGAAAGGGGACAAUCUGGGCUUCUGGCCUGUCAUGUGCACAAGCAUAAAAAUUGCCUUUGUUUAACGUGUGGACAGAAUAUUUAAUCAAUUUUAACCAGGCAUUUACAUUUUUAUACCCUGUUUUAAUGGCUAUGGUUUGCCUUAGGUCUCCUAUUUCUACUACCGGGACCUUGCUUUUGUCAUUUGGCAUGAGGUGAGUCAUAGUUUGAUUUUGUAGGUUUGGGAAAGGGGCAGCCAUAGGAGGUGGAGGAGGGAGAACAAAGCCCACCUUAAAGAAGCCCAUAGGAUCCUUUCCAGUGACCUCUGCUCCUAAACCACAGAAGCGUUCUAAAGUGGGGUUAGAGUUGCUAGUGGUAGGAAUAGUAAUGGAUAUAAGCACUGGGUAAGGAAGGGAAAGGAAAAGAUAGAUAGACUAAGCUUUCCUUAGCUUUAAUUUGGUAGGGCUUGAUCCAGGAACAAUGGCCCAUGAUUCUGAGGAUAAUGGUGCUUGCUUGACUCAUGUGUGAUGUGUCCAUCUCUUUCCAACCUUACGAACAGCAGUCUCAGUGGUUAGCAGCACAAGGUAGGGUCCUUCCCGGGCUGGCUCGAGUUUCCCUUCUUUCCCCUCUUUGAUGAGAACGUGAUCCCCAGGCUGAUGCUGAGGCACUGGAAAGUCCAAAGGCAGCACCGGCCCAGCAGUAGGUCUGUAUAAAGUCCA
rnacentral:lncRNA from 10 species